CCUACGGGAGGCUGCAGUGGGGGAUAUUGCACAAUGGGGGGAACCCUGAUGCAGCGACGCCGCGUGGGUGAAGGAGCGUUUCGGCGCGUAAAGCCCUAUCGGCAGGGAAGAAGGAGGACGGUACCUGACUAAGAAGCCCCGGCUAACUACGUGCCAGCAGCCGCGGUAAUACGUAGGGGGCAAGCGUUAUCCGGAUUUACUGGGUGUAAAGGGGGCGCAGACGGCAGCGCAAGCCAGGAGUGAAAGCCCGGGGCCCAACCCCGGGACUGCUCUUGGAACUGCGCGGCUGGAGUGCAGGAGGGGCAGGCGGAAUUCCUGGUGUAGCGGUGAAAUGCGUAGAUAUCAGGAGGAACACCAGUUGCGAAGGCGGCUCUCUGGACUGUAACUGACACUGAGGCACGAAAGCGUGGGGAGCAAACAGGAUUAGAUACCCGAGUAGUC
rnacentral:rRNA from 1 species